rnacentral:rRNA from 2 species
GUUAUAGGGUCAAGCGAAUAAGUGCAUGUGGUGGAUGCCUUGGCGAUCACAGGCGAUGAAGGACGUAGUAGCUUGCGAAAAGCUGCGGGGAGCUGGCAAACGAGCUUUGAUCCGCAGAUGUCCGAAUGGGGAAACCCGGCCCGUAUGGGUCAUCUGUUGCUGAAUACAUAGGUAACAGAGGCGAACGCAGUGAACUGAAACAUCUAAGUAGCUGCAGGAAAAGAAAUCAACCGAGAUUCCCAAAGUAGUGGCGAGCGAAAUGGGAUCAGCCUUGUACUCUUUAGCAGUAUUGUUAGCGGAACGGAAUGGAAAGUCCGGCCAUAGCGGGUGAUAGCCCCGUACGCGAAAACAGUAUUGUGGAACUAGGUGUACGACAAGUAGGGCGGGACACGUGAAAUCCUGUCUGAAGAUGGGGGGACCAUCCUCCAAGGCUAAAUACUCGUGAUCGACCGAUAGUGAACCAGUACCGUGAGGGAAAGGCGAAAAGAACCCCGGGAGGGGAGUGAAAUAGAUCCUGAAACCGCAUGCAUACAAACAGUCGGAGCCUGGAAACGGGUGACGGCGUACCUUUUGUAUAAUGGGUCAGCGACUUACAUUCAGUGGCAAGCUUAACCGAUUAGGGAAGGCGUAGCGAAAGCGAGUCCGAAUAGGGCGUUCAGUCGCUGGGUGUAGACCCGAAACCAAGUGAUCUAUCCAUGGCCAGGUUGAAGGUGCGGUAACACGUACUGGAGGACCGAACCCACUAACGUUGAAAAGUUAGGGGAUGAGCUGUGGAUAGGGGUGAAAGGCUAAACAAACUUGGAAAUAGCUGGUUCUCUCCGAAAACUAUUUAGGUAGUGCCUCGUGUCUCACCUUCGGGGGUAGAGCACUGUCAUGGUUGGGGGGUCUAUUGCUGAUUACCCCGCCAUAGCAAACUCCGAAUACCGAAGAGUGCAAUCACGGGAGACAGACAUCGGGUGCUAACGUCCGGUGUCAAGAGGGAAACAACCCAGACCGCCAGCUAAGGUCCCUAAGAUUGGCUAAGUGGGAAACGAAGUGGGAAGGCUAAAACAGUCAGGAGGUUGGCUUAGAAGCAGCCACCCUUUAAAGAAAGCGUAAUAGCUCACUGAUCGAGUCGUCCUGCGCGGAAGAUGUAACGGGGCUAAGCCAGUCACCGAAGCUGCGGAUGCACGUAAGUGCAUGGUAGGAGAGCGUUCUGUAAGCCUGUGAAGGUGUCUUGUGAAGGAUGCUGGAGGUAUCAGAAGUGCGAAUGCUGACAUGAGUAGCGAUAAAGGGGGUGAAAGGCCCCCUCGCCGUAAGCCCAAGGUUUCCUACGCAACGUUCAUCGGCGUAGGGUGAGUCGGCCCCUAAGGCGAGGCAGAGAUGCGUAGCUGAUGGGAAGCAGGUUAAUAUUCCUGCACCGUCGUAUGAUGCGAUGGGGGGACGGAUCGCGGAAGGUUGUCCGGGUGUUGGAUGUCCCGGUCCCUACAUUGGAGAUGGCACUUAGGCAAAUCCGGGUGCGUGAUUCAAGGGUGUGGGGCGAGCGACUUUAGGUCGCGAAGCAAUUGGAAGUGGUUCCAAGAAAAGCCUCUAAGCUUCAGUCAUACGAGACCGUACCGCAAACCGACACAGGUGGGCGAGAUGAGUAUUCUAAGGCGCUUGAGAGAACUCGGGAGAAGGAACUCGGCAAAUUGGUACCGUAACUUCGGGAUAAGGUACGCCCUUGUAGUUUGACUGGCUCGCGCCAGGAGGACGAAGGGGUUGCAAUAAAAUGGUGGCUGCGACUGUUUAAUAAAAACACAGCACUCUGCAAACACGAAAGUGGACGUAUAGGGUGUGACGCCUGCCCGGUGCCGGAAGAUUAAAUGAUGGGGUGCAAGCUCUUGAUUGAAGUCCCGGUAAACGGCGGCCGUAACUAUAACGGUCCUAAGGUAGCGAAAUUCCUUGUCGGGUAAGUUCCGACCUGCACGAAUGGCGUAACGAUGGCCACACUGUCUCCUCCCGAGACUCAGCGAAGUUGAAGUGUUUGUGAUGAUGCAAUCUCCCCGCGGCUAGACGGAAAGACCCCAUGAACCUUUACUGUAGCUUUGCAUUGGACUUUGAACCGAUCUGUGUAGGAUAGGUGGGAGGCUUUGAAACCGGGACGCUAGUUUCGGUGGAGCCGACCUUGAAAUACCACCCUGGUUUGUUUGAGGUUCUAACCUUGGCCCGUGAAUCCGGGUCGGGGACAGUGCAUGGUAGGCAGUUUGACUGGGGCGGUCUCCUCCCAAAGUGUAACGGAGGAGUUCGAAGGUACGCUUGGUACGGUCGGACAUCGUACCUAAAGUGCAAUGGCAAAAGCGUGCUUAACUGCGAGACCGACAAGUCGAGCAGGUGCGAAAGCAGGACAUAGUGAUCCGGUGGUUCUGUAUGGAAGGGCCAUCGCUCAACGGAUAAAAGGUACUCUGGGGAUAACAGGCUGAUACCGCCCAAGAGUUCAUAUCGACGGCGGUGUUUGGCACCUCGAUGUCGGCUCAUCUCAUCCUGGGGCUGUAGCCGGUCCCAAGGGUAUGGCUGUUCGCCAUUUAAAGAGGUACGUGAGCUGGGUUUAAAACGUCGUGAGACAGUUUGGUCCCUAUCUGCCGUGGGCGUUGGAAUCUUGACGGGGGCUGCUCCUAGUACGAGAGGACCGGAGUGGACGUACCGCUGGUGUACCUGUUGUCUCGCCAGAGGCAUCGCAGGGUAGCUAUGUACGGAAGAGAUAACCGCUGAAAGCAUCUAAGCGGGAAACUCGCCUGAAGAUGAGGAUUCCCUGGAGACUUGAUCUCCCUGAAGGGUCGUUCGAGACCAGGACGUUGAUAGGCUGGGUGUGGAAGCGCAGUAAUGCGUUCAGCUAACCAGUACUAAUUGCCCGUGCGGCUUGAUCCUAUAACC